AUGGGAUGGGGAAACUUGCACGAAACGUUCUGUCAGAGCCAGCAAAGCGUCCGCCCCUCCCUCCUCGGCUUCUCCGACCGGAAGCCAUUCCACCCCGCUCCCUCUCCCUCUCCCCAAAACCACCCAAAACCCUCUCCGGUCUGCUCUCCUCUUCGCCUGCUACCAAAUCCAUCGCCGCCGCCUCCUCCCCGGCCUCCGCCGCAAUGCUGGUCCCUCUCCGGCCACCUCUACCGCGCCGUCGCCGCCUCCGCCUCCGCUGAUGUGCUGCUCCCGCUCCGCCGUCUGCCCGGCCACCUCCGCCGCUCCCUCUCCACCGCCGCCUCGAACCCUCCCUGGGCGAUGAUCUACCGCCUGUCGGAGACGACGAACUACACGCGAGGCGCGUCCUUCUCGCUGGCGCCGCCGCCGUCGGCCACUCUCUUCUCCAUCCCCGAGAGGGCGUACGACCUGGAGGAACGCAAGCGCAACCCCGACCGCAGGUACGUUAACUUGCACGCCAGCGUCGUCUUCGCCGCGAGCCAGGACGGCCUUCUCCUCUUGAAGACCACGAGGAUCCGUUUGAGCGCCCACACGGCCGCGGGGCUGAACCUGGCCCGCCCCACGGAACAGAAAGCCAAGGUGGUCAUGGAUGAGGCCGUCGAGAAGGAGUUCGUGCGCUACAUGUGCAACCCCGUUACUGGCCAGCUUAGGUACGCCGUUGUUGAGCUCCUAGAGCUCAACGGCGAGGGGCGCUUCGUGGUGUUUUGCUUCUCCUCGGACACAGGGAAAUGGGACGCCACGGUGCGGCCAUCUCCGCUGCAGCCUGGGCGCGAGAUGCACUUGUUGAAUCACGAGGUGCUGGCCUUUGGUGGACGUCUGUGGUGGGUGGAUGUGAGCUUGGGCGUCCUCUCCAUGGACCCGUUCAGUGACAAGUGUGAGCUCCGCCACAUCAAGCUGCCUCCCGGCAGCGUCCUUCCUCGCCAAUCGCACGCAGAGAUUUGCGACCUUAUCAAAUACAGGCGGAUGGGUGUCAGCGACGGGAGGCUGCUGUAUGUCGAGGUUUCAAUGGAGGCGCCCUACCAGAUCAGGUCAUUCGUGCUGGACGACGAGAGCGGCCGCUGGACGUUGGAGCACCAGGUGUCACUGGAUGCCAAGGAGAGGCCUUUGGUUGGCGCCAUUGAUCCGCUCAACGCUGACUUGCUGUACCUCAACUUGGGCGCUGAAGUUAUUGUUAGCAUGGACAUGCGCCGGAACAGGAUCAUUGCUCAGUCAUCUGUGUUGGCCAGUGGUAUCCAUCCAUGCUAUUGCGGGUCAAAUGUGUUCUUGCCAUGUGUGCUCCCGUCAUUUCUUGGAUCAAGCCAUAUUCCAGCUCGUCUACAGAAAAUUCGUAACUUUUUGUUUGCUGUGAUGUUGUCGUUCAAGUUCUUGUACCUUGAUCAAAGGAUGCCUGCUUUUCCAGGUGAUCACAGCAGUGGCGGAUCCAGGAAAUCAACUUUGGGUGUUCAAUUUUUUUUCACCCUGACAGAGAAGUCCAUUGGCCCAUAG
rnacentral:rRNA from 1 species